GAUGAACGCUGGCGGCGUGCCUAAUACAUGCAAGUCGAGCGAACGGACGAGAAGCUUGUUUCUCUGAUGUUAGCGGCGGACGGGUGAGUAACACGUGGAUAACCUACCUAUAAGACUGGGAUAACUUCGGGAAACCGGAGCUAAUACCGGAUAAUAUUUUGAACCGCAUGGUUCAAAAGUGAAAGACGGUCUUGCUGUCACUUAUAGAUGGAUCCGCGCUGCAUUAGCUAGUUGGUAAGGUAACGGCUUACCAAGGCAACGAUCCAUAGCCGCCCUGAGAGGGUGAUCGGCCACACUGGAACUGAGACACGGUCCAGACUCCUACGGGAGGCAGCAGUAGGGAAUCUUCCGCAAUGGGCGAAAGCCUGACGGAGCAACGCCGCGUGAGUGAUGAAGGUCUUCGGAUCGUAAAACUCUGUUAUUAGGGAAGAACAUAUGUGUAAGUAACUGUGCACAUCUUGACGGUACCUAAUCAGAAAGCCACGGCUAACUACGUG
rnacentral:rRNA from 1 species